rnacentral:rRNA from 1 species
ACGAGGGAUCCUAGCGUUGUUCGGAAUCAUUGGGCGUAAAGCGGGUGCAGGUGGCUAUGUAAGUCAGGUGUGAAAGCCUGGGGCUCAACCCCAGAAGUGCAUUUGAUACUGCGUAGCUUGAGUGCUAGAGAGGAUAGUAGAAUUCUUGGUGUAGUGGUAAAAUACGUAGAUAUCAAGAGGAAUACCGGUGGCGAAGGCGGCUAUCUGGCUAGACACUGACACUCAGACCCGAAAGCGUGGGGAUCAAACAGGA